AGGCACCGGCGAGAGUCUAACUCAGGAUCUCCUGUUUGCUAGACAGGCACUUUAACCAACUAGGCCACGGCGCC